AUUGAACGCUGGCGGCAUCCCUUACACAUGCAAGUCGAACGGCAGCACGGACUUCGGUUUGGUGGCGAGUGGCGAACGGGUGAGUAAUGUAUCGGAACGUACCUUUCAGUGGGGGAUAACGUAGCGAAAGUUACGCUAAUACCGCAUAUUCUGUGAGCAGGAAAGCAGGGGAUCGCAAGACCUUGCGCUGAUUGAGCGGCCGAUAUCAGAUUAGCUAGUUGGUGAGGUAAAGGCUCACCAAGGCGACGAUCUGUAGCGGGUCUGAGAGGAUGAUCCGCCACACUGGAACUGAGACACGGUCCAGACUCCUACGGGAGGCAGCAGUGGGGAAUUUUGGACAAUGGGGGCAACCCUGAUCCAGCCAUGCCGCGUGAGUGAAGAAGGCCUUCGGGUUGUAAAGCUCUUUCGGCCGGGAAGAAAUCGCAUGGGCUAAUACCCUGUGCGGAUGACGGUACCGGCAUAAGAAGCACCGGCUAACUACGUG
rnacentral:rRNA from 1 species